rnacentral:lncRNA from 1 species
UGUUUCUCUGGAGAAUCCUGAAUAAUGCAUCUCCAUUAAAAAAAAGUAACAGGGCAAUUGGAGCCUCAAGGAAAGAGCUAUUCCUGGUAAGAUCUAACUUCCACAGAUUGGGCAAGAAUGCUUGACUACUGAAUAUUGCCAUGGAUCAAGUAGAUGUGAGGAAGGGAGCCUGAUUUUGGUAACUAUGAAAAUAAUUAUUUCCAAAGGUCCACCUGGAGAGGAAGCAUAAUUCCACAAGGGGCUGAACUACUUGAAGUCAAAGA